rnacentral:ncRNA from 1 species
GCGCGGGAGAGUGCGACGGGCCUUCCAGGCCGGGCGUCGCCGCCGAAGGAGCAACCACCCCGGAAUCUCUCAGGCACCAUGGACCGCGCGG